rnacentral:rRNA from 1 species
UACGGAGGGUGCGAGCGUUGUCCGGAAUCACUGGGCGUAAAGGGCGCGUAGGUGGCUCGUGAAGCGUGCGGUGAAAGUCCGAGGCUCAACCUCGGAUCGGCCGUGCGGACUCGCGGGCUCGAGCGUUGUAGAGGCGGGUGGAAUUCCGGGUGUAGCGGUGGAAUGCGUAGAGAUCCGGAAGAACACCGGUGGCGAAGGCGGCCCGCUGGGCAACUGCUGACACUGAGGCGCGACAGCGUGGGGGAGCAAACAGG